rnacentral:rRNA from 1 species
AACGAACGCUGGCGGCGUGCCUAAUACAUGCGAGUUGAGCGCUGAAGGUUGGUACUUGUACCAACUGGAUGAGCAGCGAACGGGUGAGUAACGCGUGGGGAAUCUGCCUUUGAGCGGGGGACAACAUUUGGAAACGAAUGCUAAUACCGCAUAAAAACUUUAAACACAAGUUUUAAGUUUGAAAGAUGCAAUUGCAUCACUCAGAGAUGAUCCCGCGUUGUAUUAGCUAGUUGGUGAGGUAAAGGCUCACCAAGGCGAUGAUACAUAGCCGACCUGAGAGGGUGAUCGGCCACAUUGGGACUGAGACACGGCCCAAACUCCUACGGGAGGCAGCAGUAGGGAAUCUUCGGCAAUGGACGAAAGUCUGACCGAGCAACGCCGCGUGAGUGAAGAAGGUUUUCGGAUCGUAAAACUCUGUUGGUAGAGAAGAACGUUGGUGAGAGUGGAAAGCUCAUCAAGUGACGGUAACUACCCAGAAAGGGACGGCUAACUACGUGCCAGCCGCCGCCGUAACAC